rnacentral:rRNA from 1 species
GGGUAAAGGCCUACCAAGACUAUGAUGUGUAGCUGGACUGAGAGGUUGAACAGCCACAUUGGGACUGAGACACGGCCCAAACUCCUACGGGAGGCAGCAGUAGGGAAUUUUCGGCAAUGGAGGAAACUCUGACCGAGCAACGCCGCGUGAACGAUGAAGUACCUCGGUAUGUAAAGUUCUUUUAUUAAGGAAGAAAAAAGAGUGGAAAAACUCCCUUGACGGUACUUAAUGAAUAAGCCCCGGCUAAUUAUGUGCCAGCAGCCGCGGUAAUACAUAAGGGGCGAGCGUUAUCCGGAAUUAUUGGGCGUAAAGGGUGCGUAGGCGGUUUAAUAAGUCUAUAGUUUAAUUUCAGUGCUUAACGCUGUUGUGCUAUAGAAACUGUUUUACUAGAGUGAGUUAGAGGCAAGCGGAAUUCCAUGUGUAGCGGUAAAAUGCGUAAAUAUAUGGAGGAACACCAGAGGCGUAGGCGGCUUGCUGGGACUUUACUGACGCUGAGGCACGAAAGCGUGGGGAGCAAACAGGAUUAGAUACCCUGGUAGUCCACACCGUAAACGAUGAGUACUAAGUGUCGGGUAAAACCGGUACUGAAGUUAACACAUUAAGUACUCCGCCUGAGUAGUACGUACGCAAGUAUGAAACUUAAAGGAAUUGACGGGACUCCGCACAAGCGGUGGAUCAUGUUGUUUAAUUCGAAGAUACACGAAAAACCUUACCAGGUCUUGACAUUUUCUUGCGAAGUUAUAGAAAUAUAAUGGAGGUUAUCAGGAAAACAGGUGGUGCAUGGUUGUCGUCAGCUCGUGUCGUGAGAUGUUAGGUUAAGUCCUAAAACGAGCGCAACCCUUGUCGUUAAUUGCCAGCAUGUAAUGAUGGGGACUUUAACGAGACUGCCAAUGAAAAAUUGGAGGAAGGUGGGGAUUACGUCAAAUCAUCAUGCCCCUUAUGAUCUGGGCUACAAACGUGAUACAAUGGUUGAUACAAAGAGUAGCUGAAACGCGAGUUCUUAGCCAAUCUCACAAAAUCAAUCUCAGU